rnacentral:rRNA from 1 species
GUAGGUGGCAAGCGUUGUCCGGGAAUUAUUGGGCGUAAAGCGCGCGCAGGGCGGUCCUUUAAGUCUGAUGUGAAAGCCCACGGCUCAACCGUGGAGGGUCAUUGGAAACUGGGGGACUUGAGUACAGGAGAGGAAAGCGGAAUUCCAAGUGUAGCGGUGAAAUGCGUAGAGAUUUGGAGGAACACCAGUGGCGAAGGCGGCUUUCUGGUCUGUAACUGACGCUGAGGCGCGAAAGCGUGGGGAGCAAACAGGAUUAGAUACCCUGGUAGUCCACGCCGUAAACGAUGAGUGCUAAGUGUUAGGGGGUUUCCGCCCCUUAGUGCUGCAGCUAACGCAUUAAGCACUCCGCCUGGGGAGUACGGCCGCAAGGCUG